rnacentral:rRNA from 1 species
UUGGUCAUUUAGAGGAAGUAAAAGUCGUAACAAGGUUUCCGUAGGUGAACCUGCGGAAGGAUCAUUAGUGAGUUCUUGGUCAUCUAGAGGAAGUAAAAGUCGUAACAAGGUUUCCGUAGGUGAACCUGCGGAAGGAUCAUUACAGAAAGUAAACGCGGAUCAAACCGCGAACUUCUAAACCUUUGACGAUUGACUCAUGUUGCCUCGGCGGGUUCUUCCGCCAGAGGAUACAUCAAAACUCCUGUUUUAACGGUGUUGUCUGAGCUGCAAGCAACGAAUCAAAACUUUCAACAACGGAUCUCUUGGUUCUGGCAUCGAUGAAGAACGCAGCGAAAUGCGAUAAGUAGUGUGAAUUGCAGAAUUCAGUGAAUCAUCGAAUCUUUGAACGCACAUUGCGCCCCUUGGUAUCCCGAGGGGCAUGCCUGUUCGAGCGUCAUUUAACCACUCAAGCCCGGCUUGGUGUUGGGCGACGUCUCCUUUAGGGACGCGUCUCGAAACGCUCGGCGGCGUGGCACCGGCUUUAAGCGUAGCAGAAUCUUUCGCUUUGAAAGUCGGGGCCUCGUCUGCCGGAAGACCUACUCGCAAGGUUGACCUCGAAUCAGGCAGGGAUACCCGCUGAACUUAAGCAUAUCAAUAAGUCGGAGGAAACACUCAUAUCUUUGGUUUAGACCUCAGAUCAGGCAGGAUUACCCGCUGAACUUAAGCAUAUCACUAGACGGAGGAAUUCUC